rnacentral:rRNA from 1 species
AGAGUUUGAUCAUGGCUCAGAACGAACGCUGGCGGCAGGCCUAACACAUGCAAGUCGAACGCUGUAGCAAUACAGAGUGGCAGACGGGUGAGUAACACGUGGGAAUCUUCCUAUCGGUACGGAAUAGCUCAGGGAAACUUGGGGUAAUACCGCAUACGCCCUUCGGGGGAAAGAUUUAUCGCCGAUAGAUGAGCCCGCGUCUGAUUAGCUAGUUGGUGAGGUAAUGGCUCACCAAGGCGACGAUCAGUAGCUGGUCUGAGAGGA